CAGCAUUCAUUCCAGCUCAGCGGUAGGACGUGGACGUGUGCAGUUUCUGUGCGAAACUCGUCGCUGAAGACGAACGUUUUUGGUUGGCUUCGAUUUCUUUGAAGGUCACGGGAAAUAGUCUACCUAACUUUCUGAUUGUAACAAGCAUACAUCUACAUGGACACGAAGAUGCGGCCUCUGUUUUUGGUAGUCAUAUGUUUCUACUAUUCAAGCACUACCUGUGGUUUUCCUAGUGCAGAACAGGACGGCCCCCAGCGAGCAUGUGAACCACGUAAAACAUUCGUGGCCUGGAAGAGCGUGAGGAACUAUUUGGUUCACCAUUAUCGCCAAUUCACAAUACCUGGGACGUGGACUGGGAAGCCGCUGGAGGUGCUACGCUGCCGUGACUUUCUGGACCCCUGCGGCGAGAAUGGCUUCUAUUGUGGCACCGAAACAGAAGAAACGCGCGAGGUCCUUAUGUUAAUAACCGAGGGUGGGAAGGAGGUCGCUAACCUAACGAUAGCAUACGUCCAGGAUAAAACCUGCAGAUGUUUAACUAGUCAGCCCAUUGUUGACAGCGUUGAAAGUCCGCCCUUUAUCUUUCAAUCCUCUGUGCAGACUUUUUGAAUGGGAUGAGACGUAAAUAAGAAACUAAUCGGUUAGUGUUUAUGUAUUUAGCGGGCUUAUGUCCUCAGGGGUAGUACUGACAGCGAGUAUGUUUUGGUCACUGCCAGGGCUACCAACUGAGACCACAUAGUACAGCAACAGGCUAGUCACUAGGUUAGCAUCCGAAACACCAACGCUUGUGUUACUUAUUAUUAUUAUUAUUAUUAUUAUUAUUAUUAUUAUUAUUUAUUAUUAAGAGCUUGAUGACUCGCGCCACGCUGCACUGGAACCCGAUGCUGCCUGUCAUGUGUCCCCUAACCUGCCCCCACCCGGGGCGGACAAACGUGUUUGCAGGAGGAGGGUAGAUGUGUCAUGUCUCCUCUACCACGCGUGCCUCUAACCUCGCAAUCCCCAACCUACUCCGCCCUCACCCCGGGCAGAAAAACAAGAAAGAUCCACUCGGAUUUUUGUUAUUAUCGAUUAUUAUUAUUCGAGCUAUGGUCGUACUUCGUAGAGCAUGAUGCUACAAUUACAAGGAAUCAUUGUUUGGAUUCGCUUAUGGGAGAAAAUAGGAAAAAAUAGUCGUAACUGAUGUAUAGAUCAGAGACGUGACAAAAAAGGUGUGAACAGAUGCUCUUUCCGGUUCCGGUGGGGUUGCAAGAACCACACCUAUAUAUGGCUUGUGCCGUAUCCGCAAUAAUUGCAGUGUCGUGGUUUAUGUAUUCCGAUGGUGAAGGCAUUUGUGGUGAAAGUUUGUAUGUCAAGUAAGAUAGAUUCAUGCAUGCUUUCCCCAAGGCACCUUCAAAACUUUCACCUCUCAACAAUCAAGUUUGGACAACGAAUGAACGGGAGAGAGAAUUGAGGAUAAAAUGUUUUCAGAGUUGAUCACCAGUCCGGCCACUGAUGUAACCUGAUUCUAGCUGUAGUGACAAUAAUAAUAAUGAUAACAAUAAUAAUAUUGAUGAUAAUAAUACGCGAUACUUAUCUGAGACAUGAUUUGUUUAAAAUUGUUUUUCAAGUUAGUUUAUAUUUCCUAUUUUGUUACAUAAAAGUUUCUGAAAUGUA